rnacentral:lncRNA from 1 species
CAAAUCCCAGACUCAAUUGGAAAGUUGACAUCAUUAACUGAGCUGCAUUUGGAAUCUUCGGCCAUUGAAAAAUUACCUGAAUCCAUUGGAUCUUUGAAGAAGCUCAAGACUCUCAAUGCCUCUUAUUGUGCAUCGUUAGCUCGCAUACCCAAUUCGAUAGGCGAUUUAGCAUCUCUGUCUCACCUUGACCUAACGGACUGCAAAGAACUUGAUCAACUUCCAAACUCCAUAGGCUCCCUCAUGUCUCUACAGCAAUUGUUAUUGUCAGGAUGCUGCUCAUUGAGACAAAUCCCAGACUCAAUCGGAAAGUUGACAUUAUUAACCGAGCUGGAUUUGGAAUUUUUGGCCAUUGAAAAAUUACCUGAAUCCAUUGGAUCUUUGAAGAAGCUCAAGACUCUCGAUGCCUCUUAUUGUGCAUCGUUAGCUCGCAUACCCAAUUCAAUAGGCGAUUUAGCAUCUCUGUCUCACCUUUACCUAACGAACUGCAAAGAACUUGAUCAACUUCCAAACUCCAUAGGCUCCCUCAUGUCUCUACAGCAAUUGUUAUUAUCAGGAUGCUGCUCAUUGCGACAAAUCCCAGACUCAAUCGGAAAGUUGACAUUAUUAACCGAGCUGGAUUUGGAAUUUUUGGCCAUUGAAAAAUUACCUGAAUCCAUUGGAUCUUUGAAGAAGCUCAAGACUCUCGAUGCCUCUGAUUGUGCAUCGUUAGCUCGCAUACCCAAUUCAAUAGGCGAUUUAGCAUCUCUGUCUCACCUUGACCUAACGGACUGCAAAGAACUUGAUCAACUUCCAAACUCCAUUGGCUCCCUCAUGUCUCUACAGCAAUUAUUAUUGUCAGGAUGCUGCUCAUUGAGACAAAUCCCAGACUCGAUCGGAAAGUUGACAUCAUUAACUGAGCUGCAUUUGAAAUCUUCGGCCAUUGAAAAAUUACCUGAAUCAAUUGGAUCUUUGAAGAAGCUCAAGACUCUCGAUGCCUCUUAUUGUGCAUCGUUAGCUCGCAUACCCAAUUCAAUAGGCGAUUUAGCAUCUCUGUCUCACCUUGACCUAACGAACUGCAAAGAACUUGAUCAACUUCCAAACUCCAUAGGCUCCCUCAUGUCUCUACAGCAAUUGUUAUUAUCAGGAUGCUGCUCAUUGAGACAAAUCCCAGACUCGAUCGGAAGGUUGACAUCAAUGACUAGGCUGCAUUUGGAAUCUUCGGCCAUUGAAAAAUUACCUGAAUCCAUUGGAUCUUUGAAGAAGCUCAAGACUCUCAAUGCCUCUUAUUGUGCAUCGUUAGCUCGCAUACCCAAUUCAAUAGGCGAUUUAGCAUCUCUGUCUCAC